AGAUUCGAUAUCUCGCAUGAUAGAUCUAAGAUCGUACGCAACACGGCGCCAAGUAUCAGUCAUAGUACGCGUCGUUAUUAUAUUCGCAACUCGAAUGUAAUAAAGUACCAAAAUCGCAAGGUGGUCGAGCAGGAUGCGCAAGUAUAAACCAUGUCACGCUCGGCGACAUAUCCAGUGAAUUAACGCUACCUGAACAGUUACAUCUCCUUAAAAUUAACGGACCAGCGACCUCGGCCAGGACUAUCCUGAUUCGCCUUCAUGAUGGCCAUAACCAACAUAAUAUUAACUACGAUAAAAAACUAAAAUUAAUAAUUUGACUCUAACUAUCGCCGCUAUAAUACGACUGGCCUGUAUACAUAUUAAAUAAUUUAUAAUAAAUAACUUGUUUAUAAAUA